CUCCUUUCACUUAGCACAAUGUCUCCAAGGUUCACCCACGUUGCAGUGUGUAUCUGUACUUCAUUCCUUUUGAUCACUGAUGA